rnacentral:rRNA from 1 species
UACGUAGGGUGCAAGCGUUGUCCGGAAUUAUUGGGCGUAAAGAGCUCGUAGGCGGUUUGUCGCGUCGGCUGUGAAAUCCCGAGGCUCAACCUCGGGCCUGCAGUCGAUACGGGCAGACUGGAGUUCGGCAGGGGAGACUGGAAUUCCUGGUGUAGCGGUGAAAUGCGCAGAUAUCAGGAGGAACACCGGUGGCGAAGGCGGGUCUCUGGGCCGAUACUGACGCUGAGGAGCGAAAGCGUGGGGAGCGAACAGG